rnacentral:rRNA from 1 species
GAUGAACGCUGGCGGCGUGCCUAAUACAUGCAAGUCGAACGGGGAGUAUUAAUUUCGGGUUUUUACUCCUAGUGGCGAACGGGUGAGUAACGCGUUGGUGACCUGCCCCGAAGCGGGGGAUAACAGUCCGAAAGGACUGCUAAUACCCCAUGUGGUCGUACAGGUUAGAGGCUGAACGACUAAAGGAGCAAUCCACUUCGGGAGGGCCUGCGUCCCAUCAGCUAGUUGGUAAGGUAACGGCCUACCAAGGCGAUGACGGGUAGGGGACCUGAGAGGGUGGUCCCCCACACUGGCACUGAAACACGGGCCAGACACCUACGGGUGGCAGCAGUAGGGAAUCUUCCACAAUGGACGAAAGUCUGAUGGAGCAACGCCGCGUGAGUGAAGAAGGUUUUCGGAUCGUAAAGCCCUUUUCUAGAGGAAGAGGAAGGACGGUACUCUAGGAACAAGUCUCGGCUAACUACGUG